rnacentral:rRNA from 1 species
UUAGGAAGCCUUGCUUUGAAGUCUUGACAUGCGAGUGUCAUUUUAAUUAUAUCUUGACCUCAAAUCAGGUAGGGACUACCCGCUGAACUUAAGCAUAUCAAUAAGCGGAGGAAAAGAAACUAACAAGGAUUCCCAUAGUAACUGCGAGUGAAGCGGGAAAAGCUCAAAUUUUGAAUCUGGCGGUCUUUUAUUAGCCGUCCGAAUUGUAAUCUAGAGAAGCGUCUUCCGCGCUGGACCGUGUACAAGUCUCCUGGAAGGGAGCAUCAUAGAGGGUGAGAAUCCCGUCUUUGACAUGGACUACCAGGGCUUAUGUGAUGCGCUCUCGACGAGUCGAGUUGUUUGGGAAUGCAGCUCAAAAUGGGUGGUAAAUUCCAUCUAAAGCUAAAUAUUGGCAAGAGACCGAUAGUGAACAAGUACCGUGAGGGAAAGAUCAAAAGAACUUUGAAAAGAGAGUUAAACAGUACGUGAAAUUGCUGAAAGGGAAACGCUUGAUGUCCAGUCGCGUUGAUUAGGGGUCAACCAUCUCUAAGUUGGUGUAAUUCCUAGUUGACGGGUCAGCAUCAGUUUCGGUCGCCGUACAAAGGCGAAGGGAAAGUAGCACGUAAGUGUACUAUAGACCCUCG